AUGAACGCUAGCGGCAGGCCUAAUACAUGCAAGACGAACGGCAAGAUUUUUAGCAAUAAGAAUCCUAGAGUGUCGUAAGGGUGCGUAACACGUAUGCAAUCUGCCCUCAACAGGAGGAUAGCUCCCCGAAAGGGGAAUUAACACUCCAUAAGAUCAUGGUCUGGCAUCAGACAGUGAUUAAAACUACGGUGGUUGAGGAUGAGCAUGCGCAUGAUUAGUUAGUUGGCGGGGUAAUGGCCCACCAAGACGAUGAUCAUUAGGGGAACUGAGAGGUUGAUCCCCCACACUGGCACUGAGAUACGGGCCAGACUCCUACGGGAGGCAGCAGUAGGGAAUAUUGGACAAUGGGUGCGAGCCUGAUCCAGCCAUGCCGCGUGCAGGAAGACGGCCUUCUGGGUUGUAAACUGCUUUUGCCAGGGGAUAAAACGUCCAUGCGUGGAUAAUUGAAGGUACCUGGUGAAUAAGCCACGGCUAACUACGU
rnacentral:rRNA from 1 species